rnacentral:rRNA from 1 species
GAUGAACGCUGGCGGCGUGCCUAAUACAUGCAAGUCGAGCGAACAGAUGAGGAGCUUGCUCCUCUGACGUUAGCGGCGGACGGGUGAGUAACACGUGGAUAACCUACCUAUAAGACUGGGAUAACUUCGGGAAACCGGAGCUAAUACCGGAUAAUAUAUUGAACCGCAUGGUUCAAUAGUGAAAGACGGUUUUGCUGUCACUUAUAGAUGGAUCCGCGCCGCAUUAGCUAGUUGGUAAGGUAACGGCUUACCAAGGCAACGAUGCGUAGCCGACCUGAGAGGGUGAUCGGCCACACUGGAACUGAGACACGGUCCAGACUCUUACGGGAGGCAGCAGUAGGGAAUCUUCCGCAAUGGGCGAAAGCCUGACGGAGCAACGCCGCGUGAGGGAUGAAGGUCUUCGGAUCGUAAAACUCUGUUAUUAGGGAAGAACAAAUGUGUAAGUAACUAUGCACGUCUUGACGGUACCUAAUCAGAAAGCCACGGCUAACUACGUG